rnacentral:rRNA from 1 species
UACGUAGGUGGCAAGCGUUGUUCGGAAUUAUUGGGCGUAAAGGGCGCGUAGGCGGCUUGGCAAGUGGAAGGUGAAAUCCCUCGGCUUAACCGAGGAACUGCCUUCCAGACUGCUUUGCUUGAGGCCGGGAGAGGCGAGUGGAAUUCCCAGUGUAGCGGUGAAAUGCGUAGAUAUUGGGAGGAACACCAGUGGCGAAGGCGGCUCGCUGGACCGGUUCUGACGCUGAGGCGCGAAAGCGUGGGGAGCAAACGGG